UCCGUAGGCGGGCAAUUAAGUCAGAGGUGAAAUCCCACAGCUCAACUGUGGAACUGCCUUUGAUACUGGUUGUCUUGAGUUACAGUGAAGUAGAUAGAAUAUGUAGUGUAGCGGUGAAAUGCAUAGAUAUUACAUAGAAUACCGAUUGCGAAGGCAGUCUACUAACUGUAUACUGACGCUAAUGGACGAAAGCGUGGGGAGCGAACAGGAUUAGAUACCCGUGUAAUCC
rnacentral:rRNA from 1 species